rnacentral:sRNA from 1 species
AAAAAAAGAAGCAGUUCUGAUGCCAAUGUAGAGUGGAGAGUGUUUUGGGGAAAGCCACUUUGUCGGGUAUUCCUCAUUCCCCCAUCCACGUAUGUUCUUGAUUUUCAACCCCUUUGCUCUAAGCCCGGAGAAGCUGCCUUUUAUGGCUUGUACCCUGGGCUUCUUUGGCUUCUAUUUGGGUCCAACCAACAAGAGACAACAUCAGGAUAUAGGAGAGUGGAGCAGGCCGAGCGUGGGAUGGAUUUUUACUUCACCCCGCCCACCGGCUGCCUUUUGGCAGCUUGCCGCAUUCUUCCCCAGCCUCCUCUGGGCCUUUAAGUUUGGGGAGCAGUAAUUGCUUCCCAUGCCUGCAGAUGCCCACACACUUUCUCAUCUUUACUUCCUUGAACCCGUUCAGCCCUCUCUCAGUAAUCUCUCCGCGGCGGCACACUCUCCAAUUGCCUUUUCCAAUGUGCCCCGUGCAUCCUGCAAAGACAGGAAAACAAAAACAUUGCCUGGAAAGGUCAAUAAUCCUGGCCUCCGUGCAGCUCGGUUCAAUUCAAUUUAGCAAACAUUGACUGAGUGAGGUCUUCUUUCCCAGGUUGUGCGCCAGGAACUGGGGUCAGAGAAAACACAGACACAGAACCUAUCUGCGGGGACCUAGGCGUAGCUUCCUGGGAGGCUGGAUGCGGGGAGAAGGGGAAGCACGUACUGUGGAUUGUUCCUGAAGGAGUAACAUGGGUGUGAUGACCUCUGUUGGAAGAAUGAGAUGACCGUGGCUUGUGACAGAGAAGGGACCUAUGCCAUUUAUGGCACAGCUGGGACUUGAUACAAAGAACCUCGAGGGCUGAGACAGUCAACAGGAAUACAGAUGGAGCCACCUGCUCCUUGCUGGAGACUGUUUGCAACAAGUUUACAUCAGUUCUCUUCUACUCUGGGGACAGCCUUGGAGGCAUAAAGGUGAACAGCACCAGGCUUUACAGUCAGGGCUUCAAAGACUUGAAGACGUAAUAGACACUUCUGCGCAUCUAAUUUUUCUCUUCCGUUGAAUCACCUCUUCAGGACUGCCUCCUGUAAAUGGCAUGACUCUGUCCCUGGUGAUAAAACACUUUACAGUCGUGGUUACAUGUUGCAUUUGCCAAACAGGCAGCACCAGUUUACGACGUUGUUACCAGGGGACGACUUUGCCACUUUCACCACCACCAUAAGGAGCAGAGGGAGAAUCACCGUCGACAUAAACACCCAAGUCUAUCGCAUUUAAAUUUAAUAGACGCACAGCUGGUUGUUGGCAAUUUGCAGCAUGUGACGUGGCUAAUAGCCGUUCAGCUGGGAUUCUCUCUGAGUUCCAGGCCUUUUCGUUCACCACAUCGGGUUAGCCGGAGUUGAGCUUUCAGCCUUCAUUGUUCUUGGCCCUGUGGUCCCAGUCUAUGCAGAACAGCAGAGAUGUUGGGACCUGUAAUUAUCAGUCCCAUUGUGCGAGACAGGUUACAUCCUACUGCUCAGCCUGGAGCAUGUGUGCACUUCUACAGACUGUCCUGGACCAGCUUUCUCUCUGCAUCCCAAAGCUCAGCCUAGGACAUGAUGGACCCCGGGAGGAUUUGUUUACCGGAUGGCUUGGAAAAGAAAAAAUUCUCCCACAGCCUGCCCGAAAACCUCCACAUGCUGAGGGUACACACUCGAAAUGGAGAGUCUGAGAACUCGAACUCUUGUUUUUCUGAAUGCACAGGCAGCCUUUCAUACUGAUAGGGAAUUGGCUCCAGGACUCUUCCAGAGACUCGACUCCUGGAUGUUCAAGUCCUUCAGGUAGAAUGCUUCAGUCGACGCAUGUAAUGUGUGCAGUGCUCUUGUAUGCUCCAACCGCAUACUUAGAAUGCUUAACCACAUGCUUAGAAGGAGAACCUCGAGGUCUUGCUCCCAGACUAACACAAGGGAGGAGGCUGUUAGUGAUCCGGACAGCCGCAUGCUUUUUCCUGAAUGUUUUUGACUGGUCUCAAUCUACAGACAUGGAUAAGGCCUUAGGAUCUUGUUCAUGGGAAACCUGUGGCCAGUGGGGUCCACUGUCUUUCUUCUCCGUUAUGCAUAGCAGAUGCCCUUUCCUCCACGCUGUGGCUCUGCUGCCUUUCCACUUUCCAAACGAAACCAAGGCUGUGUCCGAGGAGGAGUUUGGUGAAGGUUUCGGUGACAUUGGAUACCUGCUGCUUAGACGUUCUGGUUUUAUCACUGAGAAUCCAGAAGAACCCUUGGGCCCUGGUUUUCUCUCUGAGUGGUUGAUUUCUCUAGCACAAGAGAAGCUGGCAGACAAAUUCACCGUAACGAGAUUAAGGUCUGAGUCCCACCCACCGUGUGACCGGAUUGGCUGUGUUGGGACAUAUUGAUGUUAGAGCUACAUGGUGUGAAACAGAUCAAAGUUUUGUUUUGUCUUCAUUCAAAAACUGUAAAAAGAAUUAUUUCAA